AUUGAACGCUGGCGGCAGGCCUAACACAUGCAAGUCGAACGGUAACAGGAAUCAGCUUGCUGAUUCGUUGACGAGUGGCGGACGGGUGAGUAAUGUCUGGGAAACUGCCUGAUGGAGGGGGAUAACUACUGGAAACGGUAGCUAAUACCGCAUAACGUCGCAAGACCAAAGAGGGGGACCUUCGGGCCUCUUGCCAUCGGAUGUGCCCAGAUGGGAUUAGCUAGUAGGUGGGGUAACGGCUCACCUAGGCGACGAUCCCUAGCUGGUCUGAGAGGAUGACCAGCCACACUGGAACUGAGACACGGUCCAG
rnacentral:rRNA from 1 species